UACGGGGGGAGCAAGCGUUGUUCGGAAUCACUGGGCGUAAAGCGCACGUAGGCGGAUCGUUAAGUCGGAGGUGAAAUCCUGGAGCUCAACUCCAGAACUGCCUUCGAUACUGGCGAUCUUGGAGUCCGGGAGAGGUGAGUGGAACUCCGAGUGUAGAGGUGAAAUUCGUAGAUAUUCGGAAGAACACCAGUGGCGAAGGCGGCUCACUGGCCCGGUACUGACGCUGAGGUGCGAAAGCGUGGGGAGCAAACAGG
rnacentral:rRNA from 1 species